CGGGGUGGGUGCGAAGGUUGGGGGCAAACCGGAUAAUCCCUGGUAGUCCACCCCGUAAAGGAUUUUCUAGCGGGGGGUCCCUUAGAGAUUUGGUGCCGCAGUAACGCGAUAAGUAGACCGCUUGGGGAGUACGGCCGCAAGGUUAAAACUCAAAUGAAUUGACGGGGGCCCGCACAAGCGGUGGAGCAUGUGGUUUAAUUUCGAUGCAACGCGAAGAACCUUACCAGGUCUUGACAUCCUGAGAACUUUCUAGAGAUAGAUUGGUGCCUUCGGGAGCGCAGUGACAGGUGCUGCAUGGCUGUCGUCAGCUCGUGUCGUGAGAUGUUGGGUUAAGUCCCGUAACGAGCGCAACCCUUGUCCUUAGUUGCCAGCACUUCGGGUGGGAACUCUAGGGAGACUGCCGGUGACAAACCGGAGGAAGGUGGGGACGACGUCAAGUCUAUCAUGGCCUCUACGGCCUGGGCUACACACGUGCUACAAUGGUUGGUACUAAGGGAUGCGAUAUCGUGAGGGGGAGUAGUCGAUCAGAGCCCAUUGUAGUCCGUUUCGGAGUCACCAAUAGAGUUUUAUCGAGUCUCAGUGCUCCAGGUCAAAGCACCGGACAUCAAGGGCAAGAUCAUGAGUCAGCCACAAGGCUAGAGUCUAAACCAUAGCCAGCGAAACGCAGGAGUAGUAGAGCUGAUCCGGCUCAGUCGAACAAGGUAGCCGUAGAGUUGAACUGCCAGAAAUAUUGG
rnacentral:rRNA from 1 species